AUCUGUGGUAAAUCAUUCUCUCAGAGUGGUCUUUUGACUAGACACAAACGUACACAUACAGGAGAGAAGCCAUAUCAUUGUGACACCUGUGGUAAAUCAUUCCCUCAAAAAGGUCACUUAAGUAGACAUUUGAGUAUUCAUACACAAGCGUAAAAAUAUCAAUAUAAAAAUUUAUUACAACAUAUCAACAAUUAUGAGUUUUUUGUCUUCUACCAGACAAGGUGUCUCCCUCUUCAAGCUUGAUGUAUUCAACUUUAAUUUCAUGAAUAUCAACUUCAGUAUCAUGGAUAUAUCUAAAUAUAUCAACACAGUGAGAACUUUGAUGUUUGAAGAGGAUUGUGCUGGAGUUUUUGAGGAAUUUGUUAGGAGAGAAUAAUGAAUAAAAGAUUUAAGUGACAUUGA